ACCAAAUGGUCUUGGAGGGCUUUUCCAACCUUUAUGAUUCUAGGAUUCUGUGAUUCUAUGAUUCUGUGAUCUUGUUGCACUGCUGCCAGGAGGUCACAAGUUACUUCUGAGCUUCUGUGAAAGCCGCAGCCGCCAGGACUUGGUUUAAGCAGUUACGUGAAGGAAGUCAUUCGCUCUUUCCUACCUGUGCCUGGCCCAAACUCACAAAAGAGGAUGAAGAGGUUACCUGAAACCUCUGUCCCAUUCCUGCCAGAAACACAGGACUGGGGCGAUGCCAUUGAAUCUCCUUUGGUGUGAUAACCGAGAGCAGAAUGAGUCCUGGGAGACACCACUUGGUUAAUUAAAUAAACCGGCUACCUCUGAGCCAGGAGUGAAAACAAGAAAGAAAGGAGGAGAGUGGGUUUUUUCCCUGCCGCACCUCUGCUCUCCGGUGCUUUGGUCCUUCAGCUGCCCAGCGGAGCUGAUCUCCUCCUGGCAGCUCGGGAUAAACACGUUUUUUCUGCCUUAAAGAAGCCAUGGCCUCACUCUUACCAUACAGUAGCUGCUAUGGGAUGGCUCCAUCCCUAGUUCCUGUAGGCUCCCUAAAAAUCAGCAGAGAAAAAGGGACGCUUCCGCAAGGCAUCAAAGAAACAGUGCUGAAAGAGGAGCUCUCAGCGCCCAGAAGAUGGUGUAGGAAGAUGCUGAUUCUUCGCAGGUGGCCGGCUGCAGUAUCGCCUGCUCCCAGUGCUGCAGCAGAAACUGCACUUUGGUGGUGACUGAGCGAGCACAAAGCGAGCAGCUGAAGCCACGGCUGCCUGCACGGAUAUGGGUCCCAAAGGACUUCGGUGGCUCAAGGAGCAGAUAGGUGCUCACACCAAAAUAACCUCCCUCCACUGCCAGUGUUUCCUUCGAAGGAUACCUGGGCUGUGGGAGCAGCUUUUGCCAUUCGCAGAACCUGGGCUCAAGCCUUUGCUCCAAAGUAAAGAUAUGUUUGGUGGGCAGUUUUGUUCUUUGUAAGGGAGACUGGGAGGUCAGCGCUGAUAACCUUAUCCAGAAAGCGCUGAGGUGGCAUUGAACACGGAGAUUGGUACUGGCUUCCCUCCACGUCAAACGCAGGAGAAAACGCUACUGUUCUGUAAAUGUUCCCCAACUUUCCCAUAAUUGAGCUUAUGAAUAGGGCGGCUUGGAAGAGACUCUUUAUUAUUCCCUCAUCCAUUUGUUCAGAGAUAUGGACAUAUUAGUGCCGGAAACAUCUAAGGCCUUAUCUAGCCUGACCUUUUGAAGAGCAGACUAUAAAAUUUUGUCCAUUAACCUCACCACUGAGCCCACUAACUCAUUGCUGGCUAAAACGUAUCUGCCACUCUUGGUCUGAGGAGCACACACAGUGGAUAAUCCACCAUUUCCCUUAAUCGUUUCUUUUAAUGGCCAGACUGUCUCUCCGUUUAAAGCAGUAAUGAUCCCUGCUGCUCCUGCAAUGUCGCUGAUUCACGGCUUGCUGGAGUUUGUGGUGUGCAUGCGGGAAGGCCGGGAUGAAGCGGGGAGGUUGCUGAAGGUUAGGAGGGAGGUGACACGGCGGCUUUGGGUAGAGGGGCACGGUUUAUGGGGAGAGCAAGAUCUAAGGUUCAGGUCUCAGGAGGCUGUGUUUUGAUGGUAGCCAUAAGUGCUGGGGUUUAGGAGGGAUUUGCUUUGGGUGUUGGCAGAGCUGGAUGGGAUCUCAGAGGAAUUGCUGGGGGCCCACAGAGAACGUCUGCUUGCUGCUUCUGCUAUGCAUGGCUCCGGGGCUGAAUCAGCAGCUCCUUGCAGGGUUGCCUUGGUCAAACCAGAUGAAAAACUCCAGUGUUCCCCCAUGCCCUGUCUGUCUGCAGCACUUUUCCAUCUUUGUUAUCACAAGCCCUAAAUUCACUUUCAAAAUCAUUCAGCUCCUUGUUUGUCUGCUUGCUUAGGUUCCAUAAUUACAGCUGCUGCUGAGAGAGCAAAGCCUGCUCUGGGAGACCACCGGCACAGCCUGUGGGGAGCAUCGAGCCCCCUCUGUGUCGGGAUGUGCUUGCCGUGGGGCGGCCGUGUGAGUCGAGGGGUAGCUCUGCCUUUCUCCGGACUGAACAAAUAGAGCAAGGCACAGCCUGCUCCCCGCUUCUGUAGCGCUGCCUUCACAAGCGAGCAGCAGCCUGCUGGGUCCAGCAAGGUGAGCAAUAUUUUACUGGGGAAAAACUGGGGGCGAGUGUUGUGACAGGCAGCCUGGCAGCUGGAGUUUGCUUCCUGAGCGACUUUGGAUUGACCAUCUCUGUUUGCAGAAGGCAUUUUUUCGGGGCUUGUCAUUUUUAAGGGCAUUGAUUUUAACAUAUUUUCUUUGGACGGAGGCUCAACAGUGGAGGAAUCGUCUCCAGGAAGGAACAGCAUCGGCUGGAAUGCCUUGACUGGAAACUCUGCUUGUCAGCAAGUUGUCGCCUUCCCUAUGGACAGGUGCCAUUUUCAGUGAAACCAUCUCAAAGAGCACGUGCGACUCACGGAAGUUACAUAGCACCAGGGCAGAGAACAGACUUGCGGGCUGAUGAAUCCGUAGCAUCAGGAAAUGUUUGCAACUGCUCGUGAAAGCCUCUGAGGAGCUCUGGAGCCUGUGCCUCCCUUCCUCCUGACACGUGCAGUUUGUGCAGAUGGCAAAAUUCCCGGUGUCAGUCACGAGUAUGGUGGAAGAUAUCCUAUCAGAAUCAUCUCUACAUCAUCUGGUUGGCCAAGACACCUGCAGGGCAUGGGUUUCACCAUGGGUCUUCAGUGCCUGGUGCUCCCCACAGCGCAGAUGUCCCAGCUCAUCUGCCACUGACUGCCCUCCUGUGCCACUUCUGCUUGGAAGGCUGGGGAGGUUUGUCUCCUUCUCAUCAGUUUCUGAAGAAAGUUUUCUUCCCAGGGCUGGUUCAGCUGUUCUGGAUUCUGCUGAGUCAUUCAUGGUGUGUCCCCUGACCUAGCGGCCAGUCCUGGACAGGAGCUCAGCCCAGCAGGACGAGCAGAGGAAGCGUGCUGCAGCUGGGACACCCCGCAGAUGCCAAACCCCUCCGAGCAAUGAGAACCGUAUGUGCGCGUCUGCGUUCCUCGCCUAUGUUGAAUGUCACAUUGGAUUAAGGCACAUCAAGCCAUAACGGGUGCAGAGUUCGAUGCCUUUAAUUAGGCCAGUCAAAGGCAGGAAUUCCCUUCUGCCAGGCGAGUCUGCUCCCAUGACAAGAAGAUUAGCGGCCUCAGUUUGUGAUCGUCAAGCUCGGAGGUUUCCAUCCCCCUUUAAGUCAUUUACAAUUUUCGCUUCCCCACACUGGUAGUUUGGAGGGGCUGUUUUCAUUCCAGGAGGGCAGGGGUCAAAGCAUUUUGGUGAAUGUCCCUGGCAUGUGUUUGGGUAAAUUUGCUCCGUCCUGCACUGCAUCUGGGCUAGACUUCUGUGUCUGUCUGGACCUAGCAGUAAGACCAUCAGAGCACCAGGGCCUUGCUGGCGCUGACAGUGGAUGUCUGGUGGACAUCUACUGGCCCAUGUUUUUGGGAGGUGCGCUAAGGGACACACCGAAGAAUGGAAAUCCUCUAAGGAAUGGAAAUCCUCCUGUCUGGUGGCACAUGCCAACGACAAGAUGCUUUGGAGGAGGAGGAGGUGUCCCCGUCCUUCAGCUGUAUGCUGGAGGGUUGCUUGCUAGUAAAGCAGUUUGUACGUGCUUCUGUUUGAGCAGUCCCACUUUGCCAUUUGUCCCUUCUCCCAAUCAAUCAUGUUCAACCACCUCUCUGUCCACAGAGUUGGGAACACCCAAGGGCGGUGCUGUCGG